UACGUAGGGCGCAAGCGUUAUCCGGAAUUAUUGGGCGUAAAGAGCUCGUAGGCGGUUUGUUAAGUCAGCUGUGAAAGCCCCGGGCUCAACCUGGGAACUGCAGUUGAUACUGGCCGACUGGAGUGCGAGAGAGGGAGGUAGAAUUCCAUGUGUAGCGGUGAAAUGCGUAGAUAUAUGGAGGAAUACCGGUGGCGAAGGCGGCCUCCUGGCUCGACACUGACGCUGAGGUGCGAAAGCGUGGGGAUCAAACAGG
rnacentral:rRNA from 1 species